rnacentral:rRNA from 2 species
AGUCGAACGAGUUCUGAUUAUUGAAAGGUGCUUGCAUCUUGAUUUAAUUUUGAACGAGUGGCGGACGGGUGAGUAACACGUGGGUAACCUGCCCUUAAGUGGGGGAUAACAUUUGGAAACAGAUGCUAAUACCGCAUAAAUCCAAGAACCGCAUGGUUCUUGGCUGAAAGAUGGCGUAAGCUAUCGCUUUUGGAUGGACCCGCGGCGUAUUAGCUAGUUGGUGAGGUAACGGCUCACCAAGGCAAUGAUACGUAGCCGAACUGAGAGGUUGAUCGGCCACAUUGGGACUGAGACACGGCCCAAACUCCUACGGGAGGCAGCAGUAGGGAAUCUUCCACAAUGGACGCAAGUCUGAUGGAGCAACGCCGCGUGAGUGAAGAAGGCUUUCGGGUCGUAAAACUCUGUUGUUGGAGAAGAAUGGUCGGCAGAGUAACUGUUGUCGGCGUGACGGUAUCCAACCAGAAAGCCACGGCUAACUACGUGCCAGCAGCCGCGGUAAUACGUAGGUGGCAAGCGUUAUCCGGAUUUAUUGGGCGUAAAGCGAGCGCAGGCGGUUUUUUAAGUCUGAUGUGAAAGCCCUCGGCUUAACCGAGGAAGUGCAUCGGAAACUGGGAAACUUGAGUGCAGAAGAGGACAGUGGAACUCCAUGUGUAGCGGUGAAAUGCGUAGAUAUAUGGAAGAACACCAGUGGCGAAGGCGGCUGUCUGGUCUGUAACUGACGCUGAGGCUCGAAAGCAUGGGUAGCGAACAGGAUUAGAUACCCUGGUAGUCCAUGCCGUAAACGAUGAAUGCUAGGUGUUGGAGGGUUUCCGCCCUUCAGUGCCGCAGCUAACGCAUUAAGCAUUCCGCCUGGGGAGUACGACCGCAAGGUUGAAACUCAAAGGAAUUGACGGGGGCCCGCACAAGCGGUGGAGCAUGUGGUUUAAUUCGAAGCAACGCGAAGAACCUUACCAGGUCUUGACAUCUUUUGAUCACCUGAGAGAUCAGGUUUCCCCUUCGGGGGCAAAAUGACAGGUGGUGCAUGGUUGUCGUCAGCUCGUGUCGUGAGAUGUUGGGUUAAGUCCCGCAACGAGCGCAACCCUUAUGACUAGUUGCCAGCAUUUAGUUGGGCACUCUAGUAAGACUGCCGGUGACAAACCGGAGGAAGGUGGGGAUGACGUCAAAUCAUCAUGCCCCUUAUGACCUGGGCUACACACGUGCUACAAUGGAUGGUACAACGAGUUGCGAGACCGCGAGGUCAAGCUAAUCUCUUAAAGCCAUUCUCAGUUCGGACUGUAGGCUGCAACUCGCCUACACGAAGUCGGAAUCGCUAGUAAUCGCGGAUCAGCACGCCGCGGUGAAUACGUUCCCGGGCCUUGUACACACCGCCCGUCACCCCAUGAGAGUUUGUAACACCCGAAGCCGGUGGCGUAACCCUUUUAGGGAGCGAGCCGUCUAAGGUGGGACAAAUGAU